UACAGAGGCCUCGAGCGUUAGGCGGAAUCACUGGGCUUAAAGCGUGUGUAGGCGGACUUCUAAGUGCCUUGUGAAAUCCCACGGCUCACCCGUGGAAUUGCUGGGCAUACUGGGAGUCUUGAGCCACCUAGGGGCGAGCGGAACAAAUGGUGGAGCGGUGAAAUGCGUAGAUAUCAUUUGGAACGCCAACGGAGAAAUCAGCUCGCUGGGGGUGUGCUGACGCUGAGACACGAAAGCCAGGGGAGCGAACGGG
rnacentral:rRNA from 1 species